rnacentral:lncRNA from 1 species
GCGCGCGCCAGCCGGCCCCCGGCCCUGCGGUGCCGCCGGGAGGGUCCUCGCAACACAUGGCUGAUGUGGGACUGAGACCUGCCAGCUCAUUUCAUACGUGGGGCAGGGAAGGGCCAGCGCAGGGUACGGCCUUCCAGGCACGGCUCGCCUUGAGCCUGCUGCCCCGGGUGACAGGGAGGUCAAAGGCUCUGUCAUCACGGUGAGGCAGGCCACCCGGGGACAUCGGUGGUUCAGGUUAGGGAUCUGGGGGGGAAAGAGGUACCCCAGGGCUGGAUAAUGGCGAGAAGAUGGCCCUGUCCGUCUUGCGCGCCUAGGGCUCUCACUUUGUCUGCGUGCCUUCUCCCUACAGGUCCUAUAGCAAACAGAGGUCCGCAAUCGAGAGGGAGUAUGGGCAGGGCUCUUCUUUUAAAUAUCAGAGCCUGGUUUUUGUUCCUUGAAGCAUCCUCUGCUGUUUCCCUUAAAAAGAUGCUGCAGCAGAGUUUUCGCAGGCACUGCAGAGACUGGCAAGCCAGUUCCAGAAGAGAGACUGGCAGCGGGCCCGCAGUGAAGCCAACGACUCGAGGUGGGCUGCAGGCGAGGUGGCUGGGGCAGGGUGGCGAGGGGCUGGGGGUAGCUGUGGCCCAGAGGUCGAAGGUGGCCAGGUACGUGGCCUCCCAGCCAGGAGCAUGGCUGGCAGGACAGGGGCUAAUUCAGACCAGGAGUCAAGUGCCUGGCAGUGCCUGAGAGGCUCUCCCUCCAGAGAUGCAGCCCUGGUGAGGCCAUCUCUAAGGAUGUGGUACCCAACUCGGAAGAGACUGCAGGGGUGGGGUGGCUAGUGAUGUCCUGAGCCGAGAGCUGG